rnacentral:rRNA from 1 species
UACGAAGGGGCUAGCGUUGUUCGGAAUUACUGGGCGUAAAGGGCGCGUAGGCGGCUUAACAAGUCACUUGUGAAAUCUCCGGGCUUAACUCGGAACGGCCAAGUGAAACUGUCAAGCUAGAGUGCAGAAGGGGGCAAUCGGAAUUCCUGGUGUAGCGGUGAAAUGCGCAGGAUAUCAGGAAGAACACCCGUGGCGAAGGCGGACUCCUCUGGGGACGGUACUGACGCUGAGACGCGAAAGCGUGGG